rnacentral:rRNA from 1 species
UCGGGAGAGUGGCGUACGGGUGAGUAACACGUAAGUAACCUGCCCCUAAGUAGGGGAUAACCCUGAGAAAUCAGAGCUAAUACCUUAUGUGGUGAUGGAGGUAAGGCUUCAUCACUAAAGCCUUCGGGCGCUUGGGGAUGGGCUUGCGGCCGAUUAGCUAGUUGGUAGGGUAAGAGCUUACCAAGGCAACGAUCGGUAGCUGGUCUGAGAGGAUGGUCAGCCACACUGGGAUUGAGAUACGGCCCAGACUCCCACGGGAGGCAGCAGCAAGGAAUCUUGUGCAAUGGGCGAAAGCCUGACACAGCGACACCGCGUGGGGGAAGAAGGUCUAUGGGUUGUAAACCCCUUUUCUCAGGGAAGAAUAAUGACGGUACCUGAGGAAUAAGCCACGGCUAACUACGUGCCAGCAGCCGCGGUAAAACGUAGGUGGCAAGCGUUAUCCAGAUUUACUGGGCGUAAAGAGGGCGUAGGCGGCUUUUCAAGUCGGAUGUGAAAUCUCCCAGCUCAACUGGGAGGGGUCAUUCGAUACUGUUAGGCUAGAGGGCAGCAGGGGGAGGUGGAAUUCCCGGUGUAGUGGUGAUAUGCGUAGAUAUCGGGAGGAACACCAGCGGCGAAGGCGGCCUCCUGGGCUGUUGCUGACGCUGAAGCCCGAAAGCGUGGGGAGCAAACAGGAUUAGAUACCCUGGUAGUCCACGCUGUAAACGAUGGACACUAGAUAUAGGGG